GGGUCCGAAGGGGCCGGGCUGGGCUGGGCUGGACUGGGUGAAGGGCACCCUGCCAGGGUCCGU
rnacentral:miRNA from 1 species